rnacentral:misc_RNA from 1 species
GAUGAAGAACGUAGCGAAAUGCGAUACGUAAUGUGAAUUGCAGAUUUCAGUGAAUCAUCGAAUCUUUGAACGCACAUUGCGCCCGCUAGUAUUCUGGCGGGCAUGCCUGUUCGAGCGUCAUUUCAACCAUCAAGCCCUAGGCUUGCGUUGGAGCCCUGCGGCUGCCGCAGGCUCCCAAAUCCAGUGGCGGGCUCGUCGUCGUACCGAGUGCAGUAAACAUCCUCGCUCAGGGAACGUGACGGGUUCUUGCCGUGAAACCCCCCACAUAUCAAGGUUGACCUCGGAUCAGGUAGGAAUACCCGCUGAACUUAAGCAUAUAAUAAGCGGAGGA